rnacentral:hammerhead_ribozyme from 1 species
AUCCAGCUAACGAGUCCCAAAUAGGACGAAACGCUCGUCAAACUGGAU